AAUUCACAAUUUUAGCAAUAUCUGGUAUUUGUUUAUUUAUUACUUAUGAGGGUGACAGUCAUGUCCCAGUGGAGAGACACAGUGAAAGAAAACAUUGUCCUCUGAGGCUCUCCUGGUGUGAAGUUCUGACCUCAAGCUAUCUAUUCAAAUAGGCAACUGCUACAACUGGAAUGACUAGAUAAAUUCACAAGAGAAUAAAUCUUAUUUCAGGUCAAAGAACAGAAAAAAAUAUUUGAAGAAAAGAAGAAAAGAUCUAACCUUCAUUAUACAGGUGCAAACAGGAUUGCACAGAUUGCCUUUUGUGAUAAAAAGAGGAAGAAAAAUGGCAGCAACCCAGAUUAUUAUUAUACUUAAAUGGUCUCUCACACUUUAUGAAGAUCUUUGUGUAAAAGUAUUAAGCAGUCCAUUUAACAGAGAAGUAUGUUUGUUUCACAUGUAUCAGAAAAUGUGAGUCUUAAUUAAAAUAGAUCCUGACGUCAAAUGCUAUUGAUGAGCAGUUAUUAUUCUAUAUGCUAUAUUUUAUAUCAGUGUAAUGUGUAUGAAGUUUUAAAAGACCUUCUAGGUUUCUGCCAGAUAGUGAUACAGUGAUAAAAUAUCAGCAGUUCAAAAAAAAAAGAAUGAAAGGUUUAUAUGAAUGAUGACACUGAAAAAAAAAAACAGACCCUCAGAACUAAGGUAUCUCUUGAUAAAUAAAGCUGUUAGAUGUUAUGUGGCAAUAUCAGAUGUCAGGAGACAGAAAGAAAGUAUUAGUUGCUUCCAAGGGAUCUGAUAUAAUGAAUAUAGUAAUUAGGUAGAUUGAUCACGGUCCCUCGGUUAUAGAAUCAAGUUGAUAAGACUCUACUAGUGAGUGGAAGUUGGUGGGGUCAAGAUUUGUUAAGAAAAUCUUAUGUAUUGUUUAGCAAACUAUAUGUAGAAGAAACUACUAGAGACAUAGAGAAUUACACAAUGUUUAUAGGUAGACAUAAAACUGAAUAAAACUUCAUGUAAUGGUUGUUAUAUAUGCUACUUAGUUUUUCACCAACUUAUUUCUUUUAAUAUUUCAUAAAAAUUAUGUUUUUAAAAUUAAUUUAUAUUCAUAUACAUAGUUCUAGUUUAGUCACAAUGUUUCAGAGUGCAUACAUAUGAAGUAAAAUAUAAAGAAUGUAAAGGGGUGAUAAAUAUAAAUUCAGAAAUGUAAAUAUCUCUAUGUGGAAGAAGAAUACAAUCAGUAAAAUAUGUAGGAAUGAUUCAACUCUGUUUUAAGCUUUAUUUGUUAAUAGUGGAGACAGAAUUUUUUGUAUUCUUUAUUCAUUUUAUAUUCUUGAAAUAGUUCAAAAUAAAUUUAAGUUUUCUCCAAAA
rnacentral:lncRNA from 1 species